GUGAACCAUGUAAUGCCAGCAUACUUCUGAGUAAAGUUAAACUAAAGUAUACGAACGCCCCGACCUCAGUUUUUUUUAAACAUAAGCAAUCUAAACAGUGGGACGUUACAAUUGGCGACGAGAGAAGAAUGCAAUUUACAAGACGAACUGUCUAUGUAUUUUAGGAGCUGCUCUUGGAUGCAGACUGUGUGAACUGGCAGAUGGCAGAUGGAUGUGGCUCUCCUGCAGUGCCUUCUUCCAGCAGUUCUUCCACUGCUACUGUCCUGUAGGCUUCAGACGAAGGAAAGACCCCAGCGGAGGCUAUAUCAGGUCUCCUGGCCUCUGUACCCACCAUCCAGGAAGAGGGAGAGCCUCCCCCGACAGACACAUUUUAGAGUCACCCCCACACACGUUGUCUGCCCAGUGCAACACUCUGAAGAGAGGUAGGCCCUCUGAACCACAGCACCCACUCGAAACACCAGCACACCAUCGCUGCCCAAGGAGACCAUGAUCAACUACAGGAACAGCAACAAGAGCAGUGGGAGGAACAGUCAGAGAAGCAGGCUGUAGAACAGCCAGUGGAUCUGCAGUGGCACACGGAGCUUGCCAUGUGGGAUGAUGGAUGCUAGAGAGCCAUGGUAGAAGACUUCUGAUGUCCUGCGCUCACCCCUUUCCUUCGGGGCAAGACUAGUCACACAUACACAAACAUACAGAGUUUUACAUACAUUAACUGGUUUAUAAAGUAUAUGAAUAACAGCAAAUCCAGAUCAGCAGCAAGAACACCACCAUAAUUGCCAAUAAUAGUUUGCAUAGAGAAAGGUUACAAACAGUGUAUUGUAUAGCAGGUUAGUGCUUAAACCUUUCCUUUCAGCUUUCCUAAACUGGCUUUUGUUAUAGUUUUUUGUACCACCACCUACUUUUAUUAGUGAGUGAAUAACUGCCUUACGACUACAGUAGAGCCUCAAAGAUACAAACCUUAGGUUUUUACGAACUGACCGGUCAACCGAGUAGGCAAUAUUAACCUGGAUUAUAUAUUUUUUUAUCCCCCCCAAAAAACACAUUAAAACAAAACACAUGAAUGUAAAAGACGCAAUUCAUAUUUUCUAUAAAGGUGUAUGUCAAAGUUGUGGAUAUUUUAGUGUUCCGAACGACCUCCAUUCUUGAUGUGUUCGUAUCUCUGAGGUUCCACUGUCAUGUAUCUGUUUGUCCUCUGUAUGUUAUUUUGACUUCGAUCACAAUGAUAUGAUUGGUUUAGAAACUAAUAUUUUGCCUGUGGCAGAGAAGAUAUAAUAUCAAUCAGUGAAAUAACCAAGAAUCAAUGUUUUCAUAUGACUUAGUGCCCUUCAUGUAAGUUAUGAAGUAGCAGGGUCUGUCAUUGUGCUUACUGUAAAACAGAACAGCACCUAGCUGCUUCCACCCACCAUGGGUAGUGAGAAGUGAGUCUGUGGCCACACAGAGAUGGAUGAAACGUAUGAAAAAUUAAUAUGCACUUGUCACUGUCCAUUCAACUCAUUUCAACUUUUCACAUAUGAGUUGCUAACAACAAAAAAGACAGAUAAAGCUGUGCGUAGACAUUUAUCAUUUCUGUAGUCCAUCAACCUAUGACUCCCAUAGAAAAAUACAUUGCCUCAAUACAUUUUUGACGGAUGCUAAAUCUGUCAAUGAUAAUACUGUCUAUACUAAUACAAUAAUGACUAGUUUCGCUAAAUACCAUGUGUAUAAAAUAUUUAUAUUAAUUCCCGCUAUAUUCUGUUUAUAUUUGCACAUCUAUCAACCUUGUGUAUAUAUUAUACAGUAUAUAUUACCAUAAAACCCUUUGUCUUUGUUUGCACUGCCCUGUAUGUGGAUCUGCCCAGAAGGGGAUGAGUUUGGCCUAAUUUAUAGUCUACGUAAGUACUCAGGACAGCCAUUUUGCAUUCUUACAUUGCAUACUUACAUUGACUAUAAAUAAGCCUUUAGGAAAUACUAACAGAGGUAAACUUCAUUUAUAUUUCCCGUCAAAACACCGCCCAUCUAAAGCUUGUCAUCAUUUGUCAGUCACCAAAUAUUGUACAUUCCACGCAGAAAGUGUAAAUUCACUAUAAUAUUUUUUUCCAUGCUGAGCUUUGUGAAAUAGUUGUAUUUAUUUGUUUUAUUUUCAUUAAAACGCUGAUAGAAUAGUGACCCAAUCAGUCUUUGUGAUUGUAUCUGUAUAUGAACCUCCGUACCGCA